CCCUUAGAUGUUCUGGGUCGCACGCGCGCUACACUGAUACAUGCAACGAGUUUAUAACCUUGAUCUGACGGUCUGGGUAAUCUUCAAACUGUAUCGUGUUAGGGAUCGAUUCUUGCAAUUUUUAAUCGUAAACGAGGAAUUCCUAGUAAACGCAAGUCAUCAGCUUGCAUUGAUUACGUCCCUGCCCUUUGUACACACCGCCCGUCGACUCUACCGAUUGAAUGGUUCGGUGAAAACUUUGGACUGUGGCAUUGUCCUUCAUUGGACUUCGCCGUAGGAAAUUGUUUAAACCUCAUCAUUUAGAGGAAGAAUAAGUCGUAACA
rnacentral:rRNA from 1 species